GAUCCUGGCUCAGGAUGAACGCUAGCUACAGGCUUAACACAUGCAAGUCGAGGGGCAGCAUGGUCUUAGCUUGCUAAGGUCCGAUGGCGACCGGCGCACGGGUGAGUAACGCGUAUCCAACCUGCCUUACACUCUUGGACAGCCUUCUGAAAGGGAGAUUAAUACAAGAUGUUAUCAUGAGUAAGCAUUUUCGCAUAGAUUUAAAGGUUUUACCGGUGUAAGAUGGGGAUGCGUUCCA
rnacentral:rRNA from 1 species